AGCAGCCGCGGUAAUUCCAGCUCCAAUAGCGUAUAUUAAAGUUGUUGCAGUUAAAAAGCUCGUAGUUGAAUUUCGGGGUCAGUAGGUUGGUCAUGCCACUGGUAUGUACUGGUCUCACUGAUUCCUCCUUCCUGAUGAGCCGUAAUGCCAUUAAUUUGGUGUUGCGAGGAAUCUGGACUGUUACUUUGAAAAAUUAGAGUGUUUAAAGCAGGCUCACGCUUGAAUACAUUAGCAUGGAAUAACGAAAUAGGACGUUUGAUUCUAUUUUGUUGGUUUCUAGGAUCGACGUAAUGAUUAAUAGGGAUAGUUGGGGGCAUUAGUAUUCAAUUGUCAGAGGUGAAAUUCUUGGAUUUAUUGAAGACUAACUACUGCGAAAGCAUUUGCCAAGGAUGUUUUCAUUAAUCAAGAACGAAAGUUAGGGGAUCGAAGACGAUCAGAUACCGUCGUAGUCUUAACCAUAAACUAUGCCGACUAGGGAUCGGAUGAUGUUAAUUUUUAAUGACUCAUUC
rnacentral:rRNA from 1 species